AUGGCGUACCUAAAGCCGGAUAAUAUGAACAACAGUUUAAAAUCCAAAGAACUUGGCGGUAUCUUAUAAAAUCAGGGGAACCUGUCACUUAAUUCGAUAAUCCACGAGCGUCUUCACCUUUUUUUGAAUAACAGCCUGUGUACUGCUGUCGUCAGUAAACCUCUAAAAGAAAGUUUACAACUAUAUUACUUAUAUUCACGUCAAGUCAAAGUGCAGCUAAUAAAAAGGAGUAGAUGGGUUACAAUCUUAAUAAAGAUACGGAUACAUAAUUAACUAUAUGUUAAAGGUGGACUUGAUAGUAAUGACAUAAAAUCAUGAAACUAAAUCUAAGAUAUGCACACAUCGCCCGUCACUCUCGUC
rnacentral:rRNA from 1 species